rnacentral:rRNA from 1 species
CCUACGGGUGGCAGCAGUGGGGAAUAUUGGACAAUGGGGGGAACCCUGAUCCAGCGACGCCGCGUGAGUGAAGAAGUAUUUCGGUAUGUAAAGCUCUAUCAGCAGGGAAGAAAGAAAUGACGGUACCUGACUAAGAAGCCUCGGCUAACUACGUGCCAGCAGCCGCGGUAAUACGUAGGGGGCAAGCGUUAUCCGGAUUUACUGGGUGUAAAGGGAGCAUAGGCGGCGAUGCAAGUCUGAAGUGAAAGGCGGGGGCCCAACCCCCGGACUGCUUUGGAAACUGUAUGGCUGGAGUGCGGGAGAGGUAAGUGGAAUUCCUAGUGUAGCGGUGAAAUGCGUAGAUAUUAGGAAGAACACCGAUGGCGAAGGCGGCUUACUGGACUGUAACUGACGUUGAGGCUCGAAAGCGUGGGGAGCAAACAGGAUUAGAUACCCGGGUAGUC